rnacentral:rRNA from 1 species
AACGAACGCUGGCGGCAGGCCUAACACAUGCAAGUCGAGCGAGACCUUCGGGUCUAGCGGCGGACGGGUGAGUAACGCGUGGGAACGUGCCCUUUUCUACGGAAUAGCCUCGGGAAACUGAGCGUAAUACCGUAUACGUCCUUUGGGGGAAAGAUUUAUCGGAGAAGGAUCGGCCCGCGUUGGAUUAGGUAGUUGGUGGGGUAAUGGCCUACCAAGCCUACGAUCCAUAGCUGGUUUGAGAGGAUGAUCAGCCACACUGGGACUGAGACACGGCCCAGACUCCUACGGGAGGCAGCAGUGGGGAAUCUUAGACAAUGGGGGCAACCCUGAUCUAGCCAUGCCGCGUGAGUGAUGAAGGCCUUAGGGUUGUAAAGCUCUUUCAGCUGGGAAGAUAAUGACGGUACCAGAAGAAGAAGCCCCGGCUAACUCCGUG